GGAACGUACCUUUUGGUUCGGAACAACUGAGGGAAACUUCAGCUAAUACCGGAUAAGCCCUUACGGGGAAAGAUUUAUCGCCGAAAGAUCGGCCCGCGUCUGAUUAGCUAGUUGGUGAGGUAAUGGCUCACCAAGGCGACGAUCAGUAGCUGGUCUGAGAGGAUGAUCAGCCACAUUGGGACUGAGACACGGCCCAAACUCCUACGGGAGGCAGCAGUGGGGAAUAUUGGACAAUGGGCGCAAGCCUGAUCCAGCCAUGCCGCGUGAGUGAUGAAGGCCCUAGGGUUGUAAAGCUCUUUUGUGCGGGAAGAUAAUGACGGUACCGCAAGAAUAAGCCCCGGCUAACUUCGUGCCAGCAGCCGCGGUAAUACGAAGGGGGCUAGCGUUGCUCGGAAUCACUGGGCGUAAAGGGUGCGUAGGCGGGUCUUUAAGUCAGGGGUGAAAUCCUGGAGCUCAACUCCAGAACUGCCUUUGAUACUGAAGAUCUUGAGUUCGGGAGAGGUGAGUGGAAC
rnacentral:rRNA from 1 species